GACGAACGCUGGCGGCGUGCUUAACACAUGCAAGUCGAACGGGCCUUGUCCCCUUUUUUUUGGGGGUGGGGUUAGUGGCGAACGGGUGAGUAACACGUGAGUAACCUGCCCCUCACUUCUGGAUAACCGCUUGAAAGGGUGGCUAAUACGGGGUGUUCUGGCCUGCUCGCAUGGGUGGGUUUGGAAAGAUUCGACCGGUUUUGGUUGUUUUGGUGGGGGAUGGGCUCGCGGCCUAUCAGCUUGUUGGUGGGGUGAUGGCCUGCCAAGGCUUUGACGGGUAGCCGGCCUGAGAGGGUGGGCGGUCACACUGGGACUGAGACACGGCCCAGACUCCUACGGGAGGCAGCAGUGGGGAAUAUUGCACCAUGGGCGCAAGCCUGAUGCAGCGACGCCGCGUGAGGGAUGGAGGCCUUCGGGUUGUGAACCUCUUUCGCCAGUGAAGAAGGUCCUGCUCUUUGUGGUGGGGUUGACGGUAGCUGGGUUAAUGAAGCGCCGGCUAACUACGUG
rnacentral:rRNA from 1 species